rnacentral:rRNA from 1 species
GAUGAACGUUGGCGGCGUGCCUAACACAUGCAAGUCGAACGUGAAGGUCCGGAUGAUUACUUCGGUUUGAAUCUGGGUUGGAAAGUGGCGAACGGGUGAGUAACACGUGGAUAACCUGCCUCGAAGCGGGGGACAACCAUUGGAAACGAUGGCUAAUACCGCAUAGUCCCAUUUGAAUGAGAGUUGAAUGGGGUAAAACUCCGGUGCUUCGAGAGGGGUCUGCGUCCGAUUAGCUAGUGGUGGGUAAGCCCACCAAGGCGACGAUCGGUAGCUGGUCUGAGAGGACGAUCAGUCACACGGGAACUGAGACACGGUCCCGAUCCUACGGGGGCAGCAGUGAGGAAUAUCGCACAAUGGGGGAAACCCUGAUGCAGCAACGCCGCGU